GCCGGGGCGGUGCAGGCGCACGGAGCGCCAGGGCCCCGCCCCGCCACCGGCUCCGCGCCGCGGGCAGAGCCCGCCCGGCCCGGCUCGGCCCUCCCCUCCCAUCCCCUGCCCUCUCCUUCCCUCCCCUGCCUUGCCCGGCCCGGCCGCGGGGCGGAGCUCGGCCCCCCAGUGCAGGUGCGGGGCUGCGGCAGCCCCUGGCCCUGAGCCCCAGGUGGGCGGCCCGGCGGUCCGAGCUCGGGGCGUCCUCUCGUAAGGGGCGUGAGGGAGGAGCCCGCCGGAACACAGACUACUUGGUUGGGAAGAGCCUAUUCGUGGAUUGUUUUUCCCUGCCCCGCAGGGUUUGGCAUUAGGCUGUUGGUAACAGCGUGCGUCCCCGAGGUCCCCGACAGGGCUAGGGCGUUCUGUGCUCUUCGGGAUGUUUUUGUGGACGCAAGUGGUUGUGGGAUUGUCCUCAGGGAAUAGCAGCAACCUGCCUGUGGGGCUGAGGAGUGCAACCCAAAACUGCGUCGGAGGGACGAAGACAUGCUAUCAGGAGAGACCUAAUUUACCUUUUUUUUUUUUUUUUUACAUUAUUUGAGAAAAGGCAGUUACACCAGCAGGAGAUCUGGGACAGCUUUGCAUCUUUACUAGGGACUGCCAGUGAAUCUUCAGCAGGUGGAAGCUUCCCUGGAACUGGCCUUUGCCCCACGAGGCGGUCGCAGGAGCUGGCAGGUUACCAUUUGCUUUUUUAAAACAACCAGUAGCGAGUACAGAAAUUGAAGAGGCGCGUUACUUUUAAGAUCAGACGGCUAAUUGGCACGUGAAGGGUGCAUAUUGACCGUCCUGCUUCUAGAGCUUUACAAGUUGAACUGUCCCGCUCCUCAGUCCUCGCAGCCACGCCGCGCCUGGGCUGUUGCGUAUGUCGUGUUGCUGCUGCUUUAUGAACACGGAGCAGCUGCUCAUCUCGAUCUGUAUCACAAGAGGGCGCUCACCUAAAGCGAAAAGCGCAGGGUUGUGCGUGAAUUCCCUUUUUUUCCUUCUGUUUUUCCUACUCCAAUAUUUUGACAUGGUGCUCAGAUACGUACUAUGAACAGAUGACAAAGUAUGCUCUGUGGGUUAGAAGGAUAGAGACAGAAGCGUUAGCACGAGGAAAAUGAUCCAACUUAUUUGUGUUAUGUAAUUGUUAGCAAUUUUAAUCCAUGUGGCUAAUUGAAGAGCAUUAGCUACUCGGAAUUAAAAUGAAUGGUUUGUUAAUAACUAUGACGGUGAUGUGUAUUUUGUUUAAUUAUGAGCUGUCGUAGUGUUUGAACUCUGCACUAGUGAAGAGUGAGGCAACGUAAAGGCUUUGUUAGAUCAAGACCUAUGAGCAAGUUACAGAAUUCUCAUUGCAUCAGGAGAAGAAAACUACCAGUUAACUGCAUUUAGAAGUACAGUAAUGUGUAGAUGAGCUCAUAAACCAAGAGAAAUAUUUUUUUUUAUUCUUUACUGUGAGGCGGGUGAGGCAUUGGAACAGGUUGCCCAGAGAAGUUGUGGAUGCCCCAUCCGUGGAGAUGUUGAAGGCCAGGUUGGAUGGAGUUUUGAGCAGCCUGGUCUUGUGGGAGGUGUCCCUGUCCAUAGCAGGGGGAUUGGAAGGUCCCUUCCAACACAGGCCAUCCUAUUAUUCUAUGAAAAAUAACUAAUGAGUUAUUUCUUGUUUAGUUUUAUCAGAAGAAAGAACUCUCGAAGUUUUUAGAAGCCCUUGAAUGAACUGUUUAAUGGAAUGUUGUUGAAACAGUCACAACUCACUCGUAGCUAAAGGGAGAUGCACUAUUAGCAGUCUGCUGAGAAAAAUGUGAAAAUUCUCCCAUUUUAGUCUGAUCUUUUUGUUUGCUUCAUACAGAAAUUAACAUCCAUAGAAUUUUCUAUACAGAAAAUUACAUCCAGUUGCUGUAACAUUCAUAAAUAUGUUUACUAGGCACAAAAUGGCUAUUCAUCUGGAGUCAUAGGUGAUUGGAUAAGUUCACUUUUAAUUAAAAGGAAUGGAAACAGAAAUGCAAGUGUGAACAGAUUUUAUCAAAUGUUACAGAUAUUAGUAGUUACCUAAGUAAAUGACAUAGCUUAGUUCCAAAGUCCACUGGCUGACAGGUAAUGUAAGACAAAACAAACACAAGUCCAGCAUUUCAGUAAGGUUUUAUUUUGUCAUAACCAAGCAAAGUGAUUUUCUUUCUGUGAUCCAGGUUAUGCACAGAAUGAGUCCUUACACCAUGCAUAAUUAUGAGAAUACUGAAUAAUUAAUAUAUACGGUUACUAUUUUAAGCUGAGAACUCAUUUGCUCCUGGUAUAACCCAGAAUCCCAGUUCUUUGCAAAUACUUCAGGUGUACAUCUUUCUCCCAUAUUUCACUGAAAUCUGAGGAAAAUCCCUCUUCUAUAGAGAGGUGUGGAACAAGGCAUCCAGGUCAAAAUCUGAUGCAGUGUGUGGGGUUAUAGUUGUAUUCUCUUUCUUCCAGUCAAGAUCGCAUUGUUGUUGUGGGAACAUGAAAAUAAUGACAAUGUGUCCAAUGUAUUCAUACUGUUUUCA